GCACCAGUGGUCUAGUGGUAGAAUAGUACCCUGUCAUGGUAUAGACCAGGGUUCGAUUUCUGGCUUGUGUA
rfam:Ipomoea nil DNA, scaffold: scaffold3400, cultivar: Tokyo-kokei standard.